rnacentral:rRNA from 1 species
GACGAACGCUGGCGGCGUGCUUAACACAUGCAAGUCGAACGGAAAGGCCCUGCUUUUGUGGGGUGCUCGAGUGGCGAACGGGUGUGUAACACGUGAGUAACCUGCCCUUGACUUUGGGAUAACUUCAGGAAACUGGGGCUAAUACCGUAUAGGAGCUCCCGCUGCAUGGUGGGGGUUGGAAAGUUUCGGAGGUUGGGGAUGGACUCGCGGCUUAUCAGCUUGUUGGUGGGGUAGCGGCUUACCAAGGCUUUGACGGGAAGCCGGACUGAGAGGGUGACCGGCCACAGUGGGUCUGCGAUACGGCCAAUAGCCAUACGGGACACAGCAGUGAGGAAUAUUGGAAUAUGGGCAGAAACCUGAAGCAGCAACGUAGCGAGCGGGUUUACGGCCUGCGGGUGGAAAACCAAUUUCGCCUGUGACGAAGAGUGAGUGACGGUAAUGGGUAAAGAAGCACCGGCUAGCUACUUG